rnacentral:rRNA from 1 species
GACGUAGGGCGCGAGCGUUGUCCGGAUUUAUUGGGCGUAAAGAGCUCGUAGGCGGUUUGUCGCGUCGUUCGUGAAAACUCACAGCUUAACUGUGAGCUUGCGGUCGAUACGGGCAGGCUAGAGUUCGGUAGGGGAGACUGGAAUUCCUGGUGUAGCGGUGAAAUGCGCAGAUAUCAGGAGGAACACCGGUGGCGAAAGCGACUCUCUGGACGGCAACUGACGCUGAGGCACGAAAGCGUGGGGAGCAAACAGG